UCCUUGCUUGAGUAUUCUGUGGUUUUAGACAAUCACUUGCUGUUCCAGAGGUAAGCAAAAGAAGGUUGAGAAGAAAGAGGUAAGUUGUGCCAAAUGUGUACUUAGCACCACAAUACGCGCAAUGCUAUGAGUCAAGUAAAUACAUUUUUCUGAUAAAUUUUUUAAAAGCUGUCUACCUCUUUUAGAGUCUCAGUCUUGGGAUCAUAUCUAAUUUUUUAUUCUACUUUGUGAAAUCUACCACUCUUUCCAUAGUAAUAAUGAAAACAGGUGCUACUUAUUGAGUGCCUAAUACAUGUCAGUAAUGUUUCAUAGAUUGUUUCUAAUCCUGACAAUCAUCCUAUGAUAGAUAUUAUUUGCAUCUUACAGAUGAUGAAAUUGAGGCUCAGAAAGAUUAAGUAAGUUGUCCAAGAUUAUAUAGCUCAUAGGUGACUGGGAUUUGAAGCCAAGUCUACUACUAUACCACAGUGUUUCUCGUGUGGUUGCUUUCUGCAAAGAUCUCUAUAACCGUGUAAAAAGUGUAUUCUACUAAGUCUAGA
rnacentral:lncRNA from 1 species